rnacentral:rRNA from 1 species
GACGGGGGGGGCAAGCGUUGUUCGGAAUUACUGGGCGUAAAGGGCUCGUAGGUGGCCAACUAAGUCAGACGUGAAAUCCCUCGGCUUAACCGGGGAACUGCGUCUGAUACUGGAUGGCUUGAGUAUGGGAGAGGGAUGCGGAAUUCCAGGUGUAGCGGUGAAAUGCGUAGAUAUCUGGAGGAACACCGGUGGCGAAGGCGGCAUCCUGGACCAUUACUGACGCUGAGGAGCGAAAGCCAGGGGAGCAAACGGG